rnacentral:ncRNA from 1 species
AAAAAGGCUCUUUUAAGAGCCACCCACAAUUUUCUUAAGAGAUAUU